GAUGAAGAACGUAGCGAAAUGCGAUAAGUAAUGUGAAUUGCAGAAUUCAGUGAAUCAUCGAAUCUUUGAACGCACCUUGCGCUCCUUGGUAUUCCAAGGAGCAUGCCUGUUUGAGUAUCAUUAAAUUAUCAACUGUGCCAAUUUGGUUACAGAUUGGAUGUGGGAGAUUCUUUUUGCAGGCCUUUGACUUCUCUUUGAGAAAAAAAAUAAAAGGUCGGCUCUCCUGAAAUGUAUUAGCAGUGCCUUUGUUGGUUCAUUAGGUGUGAUAAAUUGUCUACAUCUUCGCAUGAUACCUUCAUUUGUACAUGUCAUAUUGCUUCUAAAUUGUCUUUGAUUGGACGCAAAACAUAUAUAAUGUUUGACAAACUUGAUCUCAAAUCAGGCAGGACUACCCGCUGAACUUAAGCAUAUCAAUAAGCGGAGGA
rnacentral:misc_RNA from 1 species